rnacentral:rRNA from 1 species
UGGGGAAUCUUGCGCAAUGGGCGAAAGCCUGACGCAGCCAUGCCGCGUGGAUGAUGAAGGUCUUAGGAUUGUAAAAUCCUUUCACCGGUGAAGAUAAUGACAGUACCUGGAGAAUAAGCUCCGGCUAACUCCGUGCCAGCAGCCGCGGUAAUACGGAGGGAGCUAGCGUUGUUCGGAAUCACUGGGCGUAAAGGGAGCGUAGGCGGCGUGGUAAGUCAGAUGUGAAAUCCCGGGGCUCAACCCCGGAAC